rnacentral:rRNA from 1 species
AGCAGCCGCGGUAAUUCCAGCUCCAAUAGCGUAUAUUAAAGUUGUUGCAGUUAAAAAGCUCGUAGCUGAAUUUCGGGAUCAAGGGAUCGGUCAUGCCUUGGUAUGUACUGGUCUUAUUGGUUCUCACCUUCUAAAGAACCAUGAUGUCAUUCAUUUGAUGUUAUGGGGAAUUAGGACUGUUACCUUGAAAAAAUUAGAGUGUUUAAAGCAAGCUUACGCUUGAAUACAUUAGCAUGGAAUAAUGAAAUAAGACAUCAGAUUCUAUUUUGUUGGUUUCUAGGAUCGAUGUAAUGAUUAAUAGGGAUAGUUGGGGGCAUUAGUAUUCAAUUGUCAGAGGUGAAAUUCUUGGAUUUAUUGAAGACUAACUACUGCGAAAGCAUUUGCCAAGGAUGUUUUCAUUAAUCAAGAACGAAGUUAGGGGAUCGAAGACGAUCAGAUACCGUCGUAGUCUUAACCAUAAACUAUGCCGACUAGGGAUCGGAUGAUGUUAAUUUUUUAAUGUAC